UACGUAGGGUGCAAGCGUUAAUCGGAAUUACUGGGCGUAAAGCGUGCGCAGGCGGCUAUGCAAGACAGAUGUGAAAUCCCCGGGCUCAACCUGGGAACUGCAUUUGUGACCGCAUGGCUAGAGUACGGUAGAGGGGGAUGGAAUUCCGCGUGUAGCAGUGAAAUGCGUAGAUAUGCGGAGGAACACCGAUGGCGAAGGCAAUCCCCUGGACCUGUACUGACGCUCAUGCACGAAAGCGUGGGGAGCAAACAGG
rnacentral:rRNA from 1 species